rnacentral:rRNA from 1 species
CCUACGGGUGGCAGCAGUGAGGAAUCUUGGUCAAUGGACGAGAGUCUGAACCAGCCAAGUAGCGUGAAGGAUGACUGCCCUAUGGGUUGUAAACUUCUUUUAUAUGGGAAUAAAAUGUUCCACGUGUGGGAUUUUGUAUGUACCAUAUGAAUAAGGAUCGGCUAACUCCGCUCCAGCAGCCGCGGUACUACGGAGGAUCCGAGCGUUAUCCGGAUUUAUUGGGUGUAAAGGGAGCGUAGGGGGAUUGUUAAGUUAGUUGUGAAAGUGUGCGGCUCAACCGGAAAAUUGCAGUUGAUACUGGGAGACGUGAGUACAGUAGAGGUGGGCGGAAUUCGUGGUGUAGCGGUGAAAUGCGUAGAUAUAAGGAAGAACACCGAUGGCGAAGGCAGCUCUCUGGACUGCAACUGACACUGAGGCUCGAAAGUGUGGGGAGCAAACAGGAUUAGAUACCCCUGUAGUC